GACACACACACACACACACUCACGCACUCACACACACACACACACACACAGACACUCGCACACUCCACUUUGAGUGAUGUUUAGUGUCAGCAGCCCCAGGUCUGCUGAUUAGUUUGUUAAGAAGGAUAUUUCCUUUUCUUUCUUUUGAUCGUUUUCUGUUUUGUUUCUCUCUCUUUCUCUCUCUUUCUCUCCUCUCUUUCUCUCCUCUCUUUCUCUCCUCUCUUUCUCUCCUCUGUUCUCCUCUCUUUCUCUCCUCUCUUUCUCGCUGUACUCAGGUGAAUGUUUUUGGUGUUGUCUCAGAACUCGGCAGAAGUUUGUUUGUUUUUUGUUGGAAAUCAAACGGAACGCAGUCGAACUUUCAGUCUGAUCUGAAAGGUUUAUUAAUAGAUCUCAUGUUUAUUCUGCAUGCUUCUGCAUUUCAUUUGUGUAUGUUGGGGUGUGUGUGUGUGUAGAGGUGUGUGUGUGUGUGUAGAGGUGUGUGUGUGUGUGUGUAGAGGUGUGUGUGUGUGUGUGUAGAGGUGUGUGUGUGUGUGUGUAGAGGUGUGUGUGUGUGUGUGUAGAGGUGUGUGUGUGUGUGUAGAGGUGUGUGUGUGUGUGUAGAGGUGUGUGUGUGUGUGUAGAGGUGUGUGUGUGUGUGUAGAGGUGUGUGUGUGUGUGUAGAGGUGUGUGUGUGUGUGUAGAGGUGUGUGUGUGUGUGUAGAGGUGUGUGUGUGUGUGUGUAGAGGUGUGUGUGUGUGUGUGUAGAGGUGUGUGUGUGUGUAGAGGUGUGUGUGUGUGUAGAGGUGUGUGUGUGUGUAGAGGUGUGUGUGUGUGUAGAGGUGUGUGUGUGUGUGUGUAGAGGUGUGUGUAGGUGUGUGUGUGUAGAGGUGUGUGUGUGUAGAGGUGUGUGUGUGUGUGUGUGUGUGUGUAGAGGUGUGUGUGUGUAGAGGUGUGUGUGUGUGUGUAGAGGUGUGUGUGUGUGUAGAGGUGUGUGUGUGUGUAGAGGUGUGUGUGUGUGUAGAGGUGUGUGUGUGUGUAGAGGUGUGUGUGUGUGUAGAGGUGUGUGUGUAGAGGUGUGUGUGUAGAGGUGUGUGUGUAGAGGUGUGUGUGUGUAGAGGUGUGUGUGUGUAGAGGUGUGUGUGUGUAGAGGUGUGUGUGUGUAGAGGUGUGUGUGUGUAGAGGUGUGUGUGUGUGUAGAGGUGUGUGUGUGUGUGUGUGUGUAGAGGUGUGUGUGUGUGUGUGUGUAGAGGUGUGUGUGUGUGUGUGUGUAGAGGUGUGUGUGUGUGUGUGUGUAGAGGUGUGUGUGUGUGUGUGUAGAGGUGUGUGUGUGUGUAGAGGUGUGUGUGUGUAGAGGUGUGUGUGUGUAGAGGUGUGUGUGUGUAGAGGUGUGUGUGUGUAGAGGUGUGUGUGUGUAGAGGUGUGUGUGUGUGUGUAGAGGUGUGUGUGUGUGUGUGUAGAGGUGUGUGUGUGUGUGUGUAGAGGUGUGUGUGUGUGUGUGUGUAGAGGUGUGUGUGUGUGUGUGUAGAGGUGUGUGUGUGUGUGUGUAGAGGUGUGUGUGUGUGUGUGUAGAGGUGUGUGUGUGUGUAGAGGUGUGUGUGUGUGUAGAGGUGUGUGUGUGUAGAGGUGUGUGUGUAGAGGUGUGUGUGUGUGUAGAGGUGUGUGUGUGUGUUGGUGUGCGUGUAGAGGUGUGUGUGUGUUGGUAUGCGUGUAGAGGUGUGUGUAGAGGUGUGUGUGUGUGUGUAGAGGUGUGUGUGUGUAGAGGUGUGUGUGUUGGUGUGUUGGUGUGUGUGUAGAGGUGUGUGUGUUGGUGUGCGUGUAGAGGUGUGUGUGUGUGUGUGUGUUGAUUAGAAGAAGCUUUUGUUUGCCAUAUGUACAUUUGUUUGUUUUGAUGUGUGUGUGUGUGUGUGUGUGUGCGC